GAUGAACGCUGGCGGCGUGCCUAACACAUGCAAGUCGAACGGAGUUGUUAUUAGGAAGUUUUCGGAUGGAAUAAUAAUAACUUAGUGGCGGACGGGUGAGUAACGCGUGGGUAACCUGCCUCAUACAGGGGGAUAACAGUUGGAAACGGCUGCUAAAACCGCAUGACAUUGCGAUGUCGAAUGACAAUGCAAUGAAAUAUUUAUAGGUAUGAGAUGGGCCCGCGUCUGAUUAGCUAGUUGGUGAGGUAAUGGCCCACAAAGGCGACGAUCAGUAGCCGGCUUGAGAGAGUGACCGGCCACAUUGGGACUGAGACACGGCCCAAACUCCUACGGGAGGCAGCAGUGGGGAAUAUUGCACAAUGGGGGAAACCCUGAUGCAGCGACGCCGCGUGAGUGAAGAAGUAUUUCGGUAUGUAAAGCUCUAUCAGCAGGGAAGAAAAUGACGGUACCUGACUAAGAAGCCCCGGCUAACUACGUGCCAGCCGCCGCCGUAA
rnacentral:rRNA from 1 species